rnacentral:tRNA from 1 species
GCCUGGGUGGCUUAGUUGGUUAGGCAUCCGACUUCGGCUCAGGUCAGGAUCUUGCCGCUUGUGGGUUCAAGCCCCACGUCAGGCU